UACAGAGGUCUCAAGCGUUGUUCGGAUUCAUUGGGCGUAAAGGGCGCGUAGGCUGCGGGGCAAGUCGGGUGUGAAAUCUCAGAGCUCAACUCUGAAACUGCACUCGAUACUGCUUUGCUGGAGGACUGGAGAGGAGAUUGGAAUUCACGGUGUAGCAGUGAAAAUGCGUAGAUAUCGUGAGGAAGACCAGUGGCGAAAGGCGG
rnacentral:rRNA from 1 species